GCCACCGACCUGCGAGACGGACGCAACGAGAUUCAGAUCAGCACACUCGGCAACAAGGAGAAGUAUGUCAAGGUGCACCAGCAAGUACACCAAAGAAGCAUUGACGAAUUUGUACUCAAGAACAUGGAUCUAGCACAUAAACGAAAUGGGGCCAGUGGUGCGAGGUUCGAGAAGGAGAGGACCUUUUUCGAGCAGGCGGCUAACGAGGCUUUCUUCAAGGCCAUGGAUGAAGCAUUGGAGAACGCUGGUCAGCAGCGUUUACCGUCAACAUAACCAGGCCUACUGUGCGGCAGAGCUCAAUUGAACAAUCAAAACACUUGGUAUUAUACUUUUCUUUAAAUCAAGGAAAUCCACAACAUUUAAAUUUAAUAUAUAUAGGGUAUUACUCUUCACAAGUUUUGAAUGCAAAAUAUCACCCGUGUUCAGGAUACUAUACUAUUUUUCUAGAGAGGAUUGAUAUGAUACAAUUCAUUGCAUUCACAUUCAGACUUCUGAUUCACCCCACAAACCAAAUAAUGUGCCAUAGUUCAUAAAUCUGGUAAUAUUCUCAUUGGAGAAUUAUAUUUUUGUCUAAUUCAACAGUAAACAGUAUUUCCCACGAGCAGUGAUUCAUGUCUCUUGUUAUGUACGCUCCUGUCGAUGAUUGCAAACUCGGUGUGAAAGAGGUGCUGAUAAUGUCCUCGGCGAGACAUUCACAUUUUUCUAGGCGACUUCAGUGCGGUACCCGGCCGUGAUCGAGCUGGUUACGAGAUGGCUGUCGGUCCUCGUGGCUCGACAGCAGAUACUGGCAGCGACAAGAGCCUCCUUUUCAUGGACCUUGCAAUGUACCAAAUAUUGAGGAGAUCUGGUUCUUGGUUCCAGCGGUCUGACCCGCACCGUUGCACAUGGUACAGCGAUGCGGGUAAUGUGGCCAAGGAGAUCAAGCACAUCCUCCAAGUGCAGUUCAUCCCCCCCCCCCCCCCCCCCCGUCAGACCAGUAAUCAUAAGUUAAGGAAGGACUGACCGGGGACCGGGACAUGCAUCGUUCCUUGGUGUGCGGGACCCGGUCACUGUUUAUCAGGAAUCUUGCGGAGGAGGUCGAAGGCCAUUGCUUAGUAAGUGACCUUCGUCCUGCUUACCAAACCCUGAGCUGAACUCCAAGCCCUCCUCACAGACGACUGCAAUCCGCUCAAUAGAUGGCCGGAUCAUCUCAGAUCUUGAUGGGAAACGGGAACGUUACACUGGGUUCUUUUGUCAGUUGAUCGAAGUUGACCCAUCAACAAUUAGCCUAGAUGUAAGUGAUGUCACUUUCAUCUAUGUGUGUGUCCUCGUAAAUACAUGCGUGUAUGCAUGUGUGCAAGUGAGGAUAUUUUUUUUUUAUUAGAAGUAAGAAUAUGUUCUGUAUUUUUUUCUUAA